AAGUUUGAAUGAGGACAUUUCUGUAGGAGAUCCUUAAACAUAUCCCAUGUCUCAAAAUGAAACUCAAAUUCUGUUUGUACAAAAGAAGAUAUCUCAUUCCUAAGCUU